rnacentral:sRNA from 1 species
GAGGCCAAACUUGGCAUGUGAUA